AAUCACAGGAUGGCCAGUUAAAUUUGAAUUUCAGAUAAACAGUGGUUUUUAGUGUAAGCAUGUCCCAUGAAAUAAUUAGGACAUACUUAUCCUAAAAGAUGAUUUGUUGUUGAUUUGAAAUUCAAAAUAUGUGAGCAAAGUGUAUUUU
rnacentral:miRNA from 1 species